CCUGCUUGUCCUUAGAAACCAAGAGUGGGUGUGGCCUGGGAUGACAAUAUGGCGACCCAUCCUUGGUUUCUGAGGCUGUGCGGA
rnacentral:pre_miRNA from 8 species